UCAGGAAAGUNUGGAGUAAAAGGCUAUGGCUCAACCAUAGUGUGCUCUGGAAACUNUCUGACUUGAGUGCAGAAGGGGAGAGUGGAAUUCCAUGUGUAGCGGUGAAAUGCGUAGAUAUAUGGAGGAACACCAGUGGCGAAAGCGGCUCUCUGGUCUGUCACUGACGCUGAGGCUCGAAAGCGUGGGUAGCGAACAGGAUUAGAUACCCUGGUAGUNCACGCCGUAAACGAUGAGUGCUAGGUGUUAGGCCCUUUCCGGGGCUUAGUGCCGGAGCUAACGCAAUAAGCACUCCGCCUGGGGAGUACGACCGCAAGGUUGAAACUCAAAGGAAUUGACGGGGGCCCGCACAAGCGGUGGAGCAUGUGGUUUAAUUCGAAGCAACGCGAAGAACCUUACCAGGUCUUGACAUCCCGAUGCUAUUCUUAGAGAUAGGAAGUUACUUCGGUACAUCGGAGACAGGUGGUGCAUGGUUGUCGUCAGCUCGUGUCGUGAGAUGUUGGGUUAAGUCCCGCAACGAGCGCAACCCUUAUUGUUAGUUGCCAUCAUUAAGUUGGGCACUCUAGCGAGACUGCCGGUAAUAAACCGGAGGAAGGUGGGGAUGACGUCAAAUCAUCAUGCCCCUUAUGACCUGGGCUACACACGUGCUACAAUGGUCGGUACAACGAGUUGCGAGCCGGUGACGGCAAGCUAAUCUCUGAAAGCCGAUCUCAGUUCGGAUUGGAGGCUGCAACUCGCCUCCAUGAAGUCGGAAUCGCUAGUAAUCGCGGAUCAGCACGCCGCGGUGAAUACGUUCCCGGGCCUUGUACACACCGUCCGUCACACCACGAGAGUUUGUAACACCCGAAG
rnacentral:rRNA from 1 species